AGGUCGCAAAGUUCAAGGGGGCCGAAUACUUUCGCAAGGCACUGUAUAUAUAUAUAUAUAUACAUAAUUAUAUAUACAUAAAUCUAUAUAAAUGAUCAACACUGUAUUCACUUCCGACUGUCAAGUGCAAAACAACAAGAGGAGAACUUCACAGAUGGAGCGAAACUGGUGGCGGGCAUAAGAAGCUCUACUCAAAGUCACAGGAUGUGUUGUCAUAGUGACAGCCGGCUCUAUGCAGAGAGUUGCAGGAUUAAAAAAGCAAGUCAUUCCAAUGUACACUGGAUCCUUUCUCCUUGAUCCAACUAGACUCUCCUCAUCAUAUGGAUUCACUGUUUUCAUAUUGUUCCCAACUGUAUUAUACAUGUAUUAAUUUCCUUCCUCUUGUGUAUCGUUAAUUUUAAGCUCAGUCUGUUUUACUUGAAAUCUGUUUUUAUUUGUUCUUAGUUGUCGUGAAUGUUGUGAAUUAUGAUAUAUUUUGAUUUGGUAAUGUUGCCAGUAUGUUUUGUAGCUUUGUCAAACUCCCAUUAAUUGAUCCUUAUAAAAAGGGCUGGAUUCAAAAAGAGGGCAUGGAUAUAAAAUACAUAGAUCUAUCAUGCAGAUCAGUACACGUCACCAUAAAUAAUGUGUCAUACCAGGUAUCACACACAUCAGAAAUCUAAAAGCAAGAUCAGAACUCUAGAAGCAAGACUGUCAGUGUCUCCUCUCCCUGAAGUGUUUAAUUUGACAUGUAAAUGCUACCUUCCCCCCCUGCCAUUAACAUCUACUACAGUUUGGCUUUAAUAAUGACUCUGUGUGAAUUAUGUCAGUGUUACAGUAGGCCUAUACACUGCUAGUGUAUCCACACCUAUUGGAUUGGUUUUCAGGAGUAAUAUUGUAUGGACAUGAACUCCUCGAGUGCACAUACACUUGGAGAUUACUACAGUAUAUACACAUGGGAAAACCUAUUUGUGUGUGUUGAUAUAUGCAGGAAUAUAUAUAUAUGUACAUUCAGGCAAAGUCAUGCAUUUUUAAAGACAGAAACUUUUUUUUUUCUUUUUUCCGUAAAAUAACUUUGUCAGUGUGAGUGGUCUAUUAAUUCACAUUUUAUAUAUUGAAGUGUAAGAGACGCUGCUAUAUGUGUAGUGUGUCGGAACUGUCCUCUGUUUCUGUCCCCAUUUCAGUGGUGAAAACACUCAUAUGUAUCUACUUUAAUGUUCUGCCAGGCUUCUCUACCAUUCUUUUGUAAAUAGGUAAAUAGUUUGACAAUCUAAGACCAAUUGAAAAGUGGUUGACAUUGCUCAAGCAAGCGACACAAGGACAGCUGCCAUAUUUUUUCUAACGCCAAAGAAUUAUUUUAGCUUUCGUUUCAUUGUUCUAUUACUCAACUCUAUUACUCAAUUACUCAACUUACUCAACAUACCAAGUGUUUCACUAAUUGAAAUACAAUAGGUCUAGGUCUGUCUAUACAGGGCCUCUGGGAACUGUGCAUUCUGACUCGGUCACUGAGUUAGGUUCCAGUUCUUUCUUCUCGAAGACCUUUUCGACUCAUCCCGAUAGGAGAUGGCUGGUUAGGUUGGAGUAAGAUUACAGCAACUCAACCGUGAGGCCACUAGUGAGGGUAGCAGGUUUUCAGAAUCGAACACAACUAUUGUAUUCACAAUAUUGUGCCCUUCAUAAAAGUUUUUACCAACUUCUAAACAACAUUUGACCAGCACAGUAUCUUUCAAGAUUUUCCUCUCACACAAUCACACAGUAUAGGUGCAUGUGUGUUGGGUAGCCAGGGUGCCAAAAUAGCGAAGAAGUUGAGCAUCGUGCUUCAACGCUCUUAGUUGUUGCAGAAAUUGACCCACCAUGCUAUUUACUUUUUGCAACUACGUCAUAUUGCUGAGUCUACCUUUAAUGUUCAACUUUGCUGUCUUUUCCUUUCCUAUUUUCAGUUGUACAUUGUUCUUUAAAAUUUUUUGGUUUGUUGUAUGAUCAACAAUGUCUUUCUUGUCUGAAAUACUUGAUUUCCAUGACCAAGCUUUCUGUAUCCAAUCAAUUGUGGGAAAUCGCCAAGAAAAAAAGAAAAGUCAGUAACCACGGUAAGUAGAGGAUGUCUACAUCAGCAGGAUGAUGCAACCUCUGUGUAAUGUGGCUCCAUCAUAGACCGGCCUCGCAUGUUCAGUGUCCGAGUCUGCACACAUCAUGCUUCAACUCUCCCUCGCUUGUCUUCUAAUUGCAUUCUCCUUCUACUCCAGUAGCAGUUCCAAGUGGCUCAUGUUGGUGAUGCUAACUAACAGGUUUGGUCUCCUUCUCUGUGUUCUAGUAUGCAUUGUUGUGUGGAUGUCGGUAGGUAGCCCUGCUUCAAUCUUCCAAGGUGGAAAGAAUACUUCAGGAAAAAAACAACUAGUCUAUGAUUGAGGUCCUUCCCUUCCCUUCUAGCUCUCUUUUAUUUUUCUAUUCGAUUUUUUUUAAUGUGUUUUUUCUUGUCUUUGAGUGAGUUGUUUCUUGCCUAUACUCAGUAUGCAGUAUUCUUCUUACCUGGUAUGAUUCAUACUAAUUUACAAGAGGGAGUCUGUCCGCCAUAAUGCCAUUUCUGUCCUGGAUUUAACAGUUAUCAGUGGGUUGCAGUAUUUUCUCAUUGUAGCCAAUUUUCUUGUACAGUUUUAUGCAAAUUUCACAUGGAUGUUUAUGACUUUCUCUGCUGCCACAAACAAUUUAGAAAUUAUGUAGAUAGAAAUUACUGUGCAACGGAAAAUAAAAGUGGAAAAAAUGUA